UGCCUAUUAAAAUAUAUUCAACUUCUUCAAAC
rnacentral:piRNA from 1 species